rnacentral:miRNA from 1 species
CCGCUCACUUGUAGCGUCAUGGC